rnacentral:tRNA from 1 species
AGCCCCGUGGUGUAGCGGCCAAUCAUACCGGCCUUUGGAGCCGGUGACAGCGGUUCGAAUCCGCUCGGGGCUA